rnacentral:tRNA from 1 species
GGAGAGGUCGCGUAGCCCGGUUUAGCGCGCGCGCCUGGAGAGCGCGUAACCCACAAGGUUCGAGGGUUCGAAUCCCUCCCUCUCCGCCA